rnacentral:rRNA from 1 species
UAAUACGUAGGUGGCAAGCGUUGUCCGGAUUUAUUGGGUUUAAAGGGUGCGUAGGCGGCUUUGUAAGUCAGUGGUGAAAUAUGGCAGCUCAACUGUCAGGGUACCAUUGAUACUGCAGAGCUUGAGUACAGAUGAGGUAGGCGGAAUUGACGGUGUAGCGGUGAAAUGCUUAGAUAUCGUCAAGAACACCGAUAGCGAAGGCAGCUUACUGGGCUGUAACUGACGCUGAGGCACGAAAGUGUGGGGAUCAAACAGGAUUAGAUACCCUGGUAGUCCACACUGUAAACGUUGAUGACUCGCUGUUGGCGAUACACAGCCAGCGGCAGAGAGAAAUCGUUAAGUCAUCCACCUGGGGAGUACGCCGGCAACGGU